UACAGAGGGGGCUAGCGUUGUUCGGAAUUACUGGGCGUAAAGCGCGCGUAGGCGGUGCUGCAAGUUAGAAGUGAAAUCCCGGGGCUUAACCUCGGAACUGCUUUUAAGACUGCAGUGCUUGAUGAUGGUAGGGGGUGGUGGAAUUCCUAGUGUAGAGGUGAAAUUCGUAGAUAUUAGGAGGAACACCAGAGGCGAAGGCGGCCACCUGGACCAUUUAUGACGCUAAAGCGCGAAAGCGCGGGGAGCAAACAGG
rnacentral:rRNA from 1 species